rnacentral:ncRNA from 1 species
CAGGAGUAACCGAAAAUCCAUAAAAGAGUAGGAA